AGUGAACGCUGGCGGUAGGCCUAACACAUGCAAGUCGAACGGCAGCACAGUAAGAGCUUGCUCUUACGGGUUGCGAGUGGCGGACGGGUGAGGUAUACAUCGGAAUCUACUUUUUCGUGGGGGAUAACGUAGGGAAACUUACGCUAAUACCGCAUACGACCUACGGGUGAAAGCAGGGGAUCUUCGGACCUUGCGCGAUUGAAUGAGCCGAUGUCGGAUUAGCUAGUUGGCGGGGUAAAGGCCCACCAAUGCGACGAUCCGUAGCUGGUCUGAGAGGCUGAUCAGCCACACUGGAGCUGGACCACGGUCCAGACUCCUACGGGAGGCAGCAGUGGGGAAUAUUGGACAAUGGGCGCAAGCCUGAUCCAGCCAUACCGCGUGGGUGAAGAAGGCCUUCGGGUUGUAAAGCCCUUUUGUUGGGAAAGAAAAGCAGCAGGUUAAUACCCCGCUGUUCUGACGGUACCCAAAGAAUAAGCACCGGCUAACUUCGUG
rnacentral:rRNA from 1 species